GUGUGGCUCAGUGGUAGAGCAGCGCUUUCGUAAAGCGCGGGUCGGCGGUUCAAAUCCGCCCACCA
rnacentral:tRNA from 1 species